UACGUAGGGUCCGAGCGUUGUCCGGAAUUAUUGGGCGUAAAGGGCUCGUAGGCGGUUUGUUGCGUCGGGAGAUGAAACUUACAGCUUAACUGUGAGCGUGCUUCCGAUACGGGCAGACUUGAGGUAUUCAGGGGAGAACGGAAUUCCUGGUGUAGCGGUGAAAUGACGCAGAUAUCAGGAGAAACACCGGUGGCGAAGGCGGUUCUCUGGGAAUAUCCUGACGCUGAGGAGCGAAAGUGUGGGGAGCGAACAGG
rnacentral:rRNA from 1 species